rnacentral:lncRNA from 1 species
ACCCUGGAGUCACGACAGUUGGAGAGCUAGCCCUCUCCCAUCACUGGCUAUAGCACUUGGGAGAGCGAAACCUGCACCUUGCCUGGACAACACAGUGGAGCUGGCCCUGAUUGCAAAGGCCUCGGACGUGUUUCUCAUGAUCCGGAGCCACAAGACCACCAUCUUUACGGACGCCAAGGAGUCGAGCACCAUGUUUGAACUGAAGCGCAUCGUUGAGGGCAUCCUCAAGCGGCCG